AUGUUGUUGUCGACUCCUCUGUCUCGUCGUCCUGUUCUGACUCUCUUGUCUCCGUCCGCUGAGGCUCUGAAGGAGAGUAAAGUCACUCUGGUGUGUCUGGCCGAGGAUGUCUCGGUGCCUCUGGUGCACGUUACCUGGUCGGUCAACGGCCGCUCCGUUACAGACGGUGUCUGGAACAGCCCUACCGAGAAACAACCGGACAAACGCUUCAAAAUGAGCAGCUCUCUGAGCGUGGAGUCGUCCGUGUGGACGAACGACGCAGAUUUCUCGUGUGAAGUGUCAGUGGGCUCCGAGUCCGCUAAGAAAAGCAUCUCGGUUUCCCGCUGCGGAACGACGGCCUGAAGGAAAAUCUUUAUUUUUUUUUGUUCGUGUUGUGUGAAUUGCGUGACUUCGGUACUUUAUAUAGCACUGUGUACUUACGUUUUUGGUUUUGGCACUUGCAAUUAAAAAUCAAGGCAUGGCA